GAUGAACGCUGGCGGCGUGCCUAAUACAUGCAAGUCGAGCGAACAGAUGAGGAGCUUGCUCCUCUGACGUUAGCGGCGGACGGGUGAGUAACACGUGGAUAACCUACCUAUAAGACUGGGAUAACUUCGGGAAACCGGAGCUAAUACCGGAUAAUAUAUUGAACCGCAUGGUUCAAUAGUGAAAGACGGUUUUGCUGUCACUUAUAGAUGGAUCCGCGCCGCAUUAGCUAGUUGGUAAGGUAACGGCUUACCAAGGCAACGAUGCGUAGCCGACCUGAGAGGGUGAUCGGCCACACUGGAACUGAGACACGGUCCAGACGCCUACGGGAGGCAGCAGUAGGGAAUGUUCCGCAAUGGGCGAAAGCAUGACGGAGCAACGCGGAGUGAGUGAUGAAGGUCUUCGGAUCGUAAAACUCUGUUAUGAGGGAAGAACAAAUGUGUAAGUAACUAUGCACGUCUUGACGGUACCUAAUCAGAAAGCCACGGCUAACUACGUG
rnacentral:rRNA from 1 species